UACAGGGAGGUACAGCUGUUGUGAAUUAUUGGGCGUAAAGCGCGUGUAGGCGGCUUUGCAAGUCGGGUGUGAAAGCCCUCGGCUUAACUGAGGAAGUGCAUCCGAAACUGGCAGGCUAGAGUACCAAAGAGGGUCGCGGAAUUCCCGGUGUAGAGGUGAAAUUCGUAGAUAUCGGGAGGAACACCGGUGGCGAAGGCGGCGACCUGGGUGGAUACUGACGCUGAGGUGCGAAAGCGUGGGGAGCAAACAGG
rnacentral:rRNA from 1 species